rnacentral:rRNA from 1 species
ACGAACGCUGGCGGCGUGCUUAACACAUGCAAGUCGAACGGAAAGGCCCUGCUUUUGUGGGGUGCUCGAGUGGCGAACGGGUGAGUAACACGUGAGUAACCUGCCCUUGACUUUGGGAUAACUUCAGGAAACUGGGGCUAAUACCGGCUAGGAGCUCCUGCUGCCUGGUGGGGGUUGGAAAGUUUCGGCGGUUGGGGAUGGACUCGCGGCUUAUCAGCUUGUUGGUGGGGUAGUGGCUUACCAAGGCUUUGACGGGUAGCCGGCCUGAGAGGGUGACCGGCCACAUUGGGACUGGGAUACGGCCCAGACUCCUACGGGAGGCAGCAGUGGGGAAUAUUGCACAAUGGGCGGAAGCCUGAUGCAGCAACGCCGCGUGCGGGAUGACGGCCUUCGGGUUGUAAACCGCUUUCGCCUGUGACGAAGCGUGAGUGACGGUAAUGGGUAAAGAAGCACCGGCUAACUACGUG